AUGUGCACACACACCUCGCACCCCUGCACACGGGCACAGACAUACACACACGGACACAGGUGCACCUACACCAGCCCACACACAAACACACACCCUGACAUCCACACAUCCCCAUUCACACACACCCCUACCCCUGCACCCACACACACUCCUGCACCCACACCCAGACACCUACACCUGCACCCACCCCUACACCUGCACCCACCCCUACACCUGCACACACACACACCCCUGCCCCCACACCCUAACACCUACACCUGCACCCACCCCUAUAUCUGCACACACACACCCCUGUGCGCACACCCUGACACCGGCACCUGCACACACCCCUACACCCCCCACACACCCCUGCACGCACACCUCCACACAGCCCCCGAAGCCUGCACACAUCCCUGCACAUGGCCACAUGCCUGCACCCCCCCGCUCCCACAUGUACCCCUGCACCACACCUCCACACACCGCUGUGCACCCCCCCACACCCUGCACACACAGCCCUGCACCACCCCUGCACACCCCUGCACCCCCACACACCCCCACACCACACCUCUGCCCCCACAGCCCUGUGCGCCCACCCCACCCAUGCCCCCGCACAGCCCUGCGCACGCGCACCACCUCCACGCCUGCCUGCAGCACGGGUGCCAAACCCAGCCCCGUCCCUGGCGGGCACCAGCUGCCGCGGCAGGCGCCUGGGGCGCACAGCGGUGCAGGGACGCGGGCGCCCACCCACCACCCAGCGCAGGGGGCACCAGCACCGCACCUCGCACACAGCUGCGAGCACCAAGGGACCCCACAUUUCACCGUGUCCCAGCACAGGCCGUGAGCACAACCAAACUCGCAAACAGCAGCGCAACGGUGCAGACGACUUCUGCUGCAAGGCAGGGCCGUACCAGACGGAAAGGACCGGGAGAGAGGCUUGGGUGCGCUAGUCACACAGUCCGUCAGCAGCGCGGCAAGAUACCAAAAGGCACGUGGCGUUCGCUGACUUCCCCACGGGACUGGGAAGAACGGAUGCUGCGGCUGCAACAUUGCUCAAACCGUGCCUGGGACACGCUGCCUCUGUGCUUGCAUUUGGGAAGGGUCAACUUUGGCUGA
rnacentral:lncRNA from 1 species